rnacentral:rRNA from 1 species
GUCCUGGCCGUAAACACUGAUCACUCGAGGAGGGGGCGUUCGGCCUUCUUUCUCUUAGCGAAAGCGUUAAGUGAUCCGCCUGGGGGAGUAUGGUCGCAAGGCUGAAACUCAAAGGAAUUGACGGGGGCUCACACAAGCGGUGGAGCAUGUGGCUUAAUUCGAGGCAACGCGAAGAACCUUAUCCUGGGCUUGACAUGUACGGAUCAACCCGAUGAAAGUCGGGCCACACUCGCAAGAGCGGAACGUGCACAGGUGCUGCAUGGCUGUCGU